rnacentral:rRNA from 1 species
UACGAAGGGGGCUAGCGUUGCUCGGAAUUACUGGGCGUAAAGCGCAUGUAGGCGGAUCCAUAAGUCGGGCGUGAAAUCCCCAGGCUCAACCUGGGAACUGCGCUCGAAACUGUAGGUCUUGAGUGUCGGAGAGGAUGGCGGAAUUCCUGGUGUAGAGGUGAAAUUCGUAGAUAUCAGGAGGAACACCGGUGGCGAAGGCGGCCAUCUGGACGACAACUGACGCUGAGAUGCGAAAGCGUGGGGAGCAAACAGG